rnacentral:rRNA from 1 species
GUGUCAGCCGCCGCGGUAAGACAGAGGUGGCAAGCGUUGCUCGGAGUUACUGGGCAUAAAGGGCGCGUAGGCGGUCGAGUGCGUCGGUGGUGAAAUCCCCGGGCUCAACCCGGGAACUGCCAUCGAUACGGCCCGACUUGAGUGCGGGAGGGGAGAGUGGAACUCCUGGUGGAGCGGUGAAAUGCGUAGAUAUCAGGAGGAACGCCGGUGGCGAAAGCGACUCUCUGGUCCGCAACUGACGCUGAGGCGCGAAAGCCAGGGGAGCAAACGGGAUUAGAAACCCCCGUAGUCC